rnacentral:rRNA from 1 species
GAUGAACGCUGGCGGCGUGCCUAAUACAUGCAAGUCGAGCGAACAGAUGAGGAGCUUGCUCCUCUGACGUUAGCGUCGGACGGGUGAGUAACACGUGGAUAACCUACCUAUAAGACUGGGAUAACUUCGGGAAACCGGAGCUAAUACCGGAUAAUAUAUUGAACCGCAUGGUUCAAUAGUGAAAGACGGUUUUGCUUUCACUUAUAGAUGGAUCCGCGCCGCAUUAGCUAGUUGGUAAGGUAACGGCUUACCAAGGCAACGAUGCGUAGCCGACCUGAGAGGGUGAUCGGCCACACUGGAACUGAGACACGGUCCAGACUCCUACGGGAGGCAGCAGUAGGGAAUCUUACGCAAUGGGCGAAAGCCUGACGGAGCAACGCCGCGUGAGUGAUGAAGGUCUUCGGAUCGUAAAACUCUGUUAUUAGGGAAGAACAAAUGUGUAAGUAACUAUGCACGUCUUGACGGUACCUAAUCAGAAAGCCACGGCUAACUACGUG